UUUCCCAAUCACUUUAAUUUGCUGUCCUGUGUACCAGGCUAUGAGCUCUGUUUUACUCAUCUGCUUAUGAAGAGGCGGAUGCUGGUUUCUAUGUGGGUAAUAAAAAGAAAUUAUACAGGA